rnacentral:rRNA from 1 species
GAUGAACGCUAGCUACAGGCUUAACACAUGCAAGUCGAGGGGAAACGGCAUUGAGUGCUCGCACUCUUUGGACGUCGACCGGCGCACGGGUGAGUAACGCGUAUCCAACCUUCCCAUUACUGUGGGAUAACCUGCCGAAAGGCAGACUAAUACCGCAUAGUCUUCGAUGACGGCAUCAGAUUUGAAGUAAAGAUUUAUCGGUAAUGGAUGGGGAUGCGUCUGAUUAGCUUGUUGGCGGGGUAACGGCCCACCAAGGCUACGAUCAGUAGGGGUUCUGAGAGGAAGGUCCCCCACAUUGGAACUGAGACACGGUCCAAACUCCUACGGGAGGCAGCAGUGAGGAAUAUUGGUCAAUGGACGGAAGUCUGAACCAGCCAAGUAGCGUGCAGGAUGACGGCCCUAUGGGUUGUAAACUGCUUUUGUAUGGGGAUAAAGUUAGGGACGUGUCCCUAUUUGCAGGUACCAUACGAAUAAGGACCGGCUAAUUCCGUG